GACGAACCGUGCGAACGUUGUUCGGAUUCACUGGGCUUAAAGGGCGCGUAGGCGGGCCCCAACGCCCGCGGUGAAAGUCCCCGGCUCAACCGGGGAAGUGCCGCGGGUACGGGGGGCCUCGAGCGGUGCAGGGGCACGCGGAACUUCCGGUGGAGCGGUGAAAUGCGUAGAGAUCGGAAGGAACGCCGGUGGCGAAAGCGGCGUGCUGGGCACCUCCUGACGCUGAGGCGCGAAAGCCAGGGGAGCGAACGGGAUUAGAUACCCCGGUAGUCCUGGCCCUAAACGAUGGGCACUGGGCCGCGGGCCGGCAUGGGCUCGCAGCCGAAGCGAAAGUGGUUAGUGCCCCGCCUGGGGAGUAUGGUCGCAAGGCUGAA
rnacentral:rRNA from 1 species